rnacentral:lncRNA from 1 species
GGGGGGAGUCAGUGUCACUUCUGAACAGUGUGUUUAUGAGGAAAUGGUUUGAACAAGCAAUGAAACAGCUUAACCAUUAAAAAAAUGUUUUUUUCACAGAUGUCCUGCAACCAUCCUUAAAGGAAAAUGGCAGUUGAGGGAGUAAUUGAAAAGAACACAUUAUUUUUAAAGAAAGGUAAAGAACUAUCAGUGUGAAGAGCCUUGACUGAAGUAAGCCCAUGAAACUGUUGUUGGCAUCCUAACUUUCUCCUACAGUUCCCAAAUCAGCAAGUAAUCUCUUGAGCGACACCAAAUAAAAAAUAUCUUCUGUUUGAGAACCA